UCGGGAAUUUUGGGCAAUGGGGGAAACCCUGACCCAGCAACGCCGCGUGAAGGAUGAAGUAUUUCGGUAUGUAAACUUCGAAAGAAUAGGAAGAAUAAAUGACGGUACUAUUUAUAAGGUCCGGCUAACUACGUGCCAGCAGCCGCGGUAAUACGUAGGGACCAAGCGUUGUUCGGAUUUACUGGGCGUAAAGGGCGCGUAGGCGGCAUGACAAGUCACUUGUGAAAUCUCUGGGCUUAACCCAGAACGGCCAAGUGAUACUGUCGCGCUAGAGUGCAGAAGGGGCAAUCGGAAUUCUUGGUGUAGCGGUGAAAUGCGUAGAUAUCAAGAGGAACACCUGAGGUGAAGA
rnacentral:rRNA from 1 species